CUCACAUUUAAAAAAAAUACUUUUUGUUCCAAGAAUAUUCCGUAACAAAUAAAGCCGAGAGUGAGGGAAAUUCCCACGCAGACAGGCGGUAAACAAAAUAUUUGCAUUACUUGGGCUUUUGGUUAAGGAAUUUUCCGGCCCACCUUUCACUCUCAGGCUCUGCUUCUCCUUCUGUUCCCCCUUCCCCCAUAUAUGUACAUGCUCGUAUGACUUCGUAUUGUUGCGUCACAUGCGUCGGACGGGACGGGACGCGACGCGACGCCCGGGUUGCGUUUUAGUGUAAUUUCCGCAAUCAUUUCCGACAACAUUUUAUGCCCCUCUGCGCUUAUUGAUAUCGCCUGACUACGGCACUACUCUCCCGCCAUGCGAAGUGCUGACUCCGCCACCCCACUCCCUCCCUCAUGAUCAUUCAUUCUGAAUACAACCUUGACAGCCCACUGCUUUAUUUGCUAAGGAUUUGUCUGUAUUUGUUCCCAGCGGACGGAAUUCUUAAUUUUUAUUGAUUUUAUUUCAGUUCAUUGUUUUAGGCAUUUGUACCAGAAGAAGAAUAUAAGGAUAUGUUAGUAGAAACUGCAAAGAUCUAAUCCACACACAGACUAAGCCGCAAAUUAUUCAAUUGUCUGCCGCACAAAAUGAUUUCUAAUAAGAGCUCACAUAAUUUAAGUGCUCUUUUACAUCAGGGAGUGGGAAAGGGACAAAAUUGUACGCGUUUUCAAGCAGGCACACACACAUUGCUGGAACAGAUCAACCGAAAAAGGCGAGACAACGCAACAAUAACAAAUUUACACACGAAAAAAAGAAUUUAUGCAAAAGCAAUAUGCUUAUCUACAUUUAUAUCAAACUCAUUUACAUAUAUCACACAUUGCCGCACUUUUCUUCACUUUUCCUUCGUUGAGCUGCAUUUUUGUUGCCAUUUUGCCUCUUUUUGCGCCCCCGACCUUGAACAAACACAUUUUCUUGCACUAAACAAACAGUUUUUUGUACAUUUUAAUUUCACCACUGCACUUUACACUAUGCUUCACUUCACACACCCACGCGACACUUUACCCGUUGGAUUUUUCAUAAUUUGAGUAAGAGCGGUGCGAAUGCAAACUUGUUCAUUCUUUGCGCUCCUGCAACUCUUCCUAAUUGCUCUCUCUCUCCCACUCACUCUUUGGCUACUUUUGCUACUGCUUAUCCAUGAUGAAAUCAUACAAGGUGGUCAGCAGCUAUGGGACGGUCUCUUUUCAUUCCUCUCUCUCUCUCAUCAAACAAUGCGUCAUAGCGCUCUCAGUCGUGCUGAGCGUACUAUAAGACACGAAAGAGAGUGAGCAGACCACCUUGAAUAAUUUGCUCUUGCUUUUGCUUUUGCUUUUCCGUUGCUCUACUUCUUGUCUUCUCUCACUGCUAUUGCAAAGGGUAAUGAAAAGAGUGAGGUUGUGUGAUCUGAGUGGGAGUGAGAUGAAUAGACUGGUGAGAGAGUUACAGCGCGCGGUGUAGGUCGAAAUAACUUAAUUUAAUUUACUUAAUUGAUCUCUAUUUGUGAAGUUACUUAAUUUAAUGAAUUGAUCUCUGCUUGCAAAAGCAGAGGAUAAAGACAAGAAGAAGACAUAAGCAUAAACAGAAGUAGAAAGAGUAGCAGGAGAGCGUAGAAUGAAAACAUUUGCAUUCGCACCGCUCUCACUCAAAUUUAUCCGCCGGUCAAAGCGUGCGUUCGUAAGACAGCUCCGCUUUUAAAUUCGCAAAAAUGCGGAAAAUGGUGAAAAAUCCACCGGGUAAAAUGUCGCGCUGGUGCCUGGAGUGAAGUUUGAUGUAAUGAUUAAAUAGAAAUGUGAAAAAUACGUGUCUUUUUGCAAGAAAAUGUGUUUGAUCAUUGGCGGGGGCGCAGAAGGAGGAAAAAUGGCAACAAAAGUGCAGUUCGUUGAAGGAAAAAUGCUGCAAUGUGUGAUAUAUAUGUACAUAUGAGCUGAAGAGAGAGUGGGACAGAAAGCAAUUAUGUAGAGAAGCAGGAGAGCAUAGAAAUAACGGAUUUGCACCGCUCUCAGUUUUAUUUUUUCACCUGGUCAAGGCGUGCGUUUAGAAGUUUUCAUUCUUUCACGUUCGUGAUGCUCUUCAAAUGUUAUUUUUCAAUUGCUCAAGCCUAUGGGAUGCAUUCGACUUGAUAGGAAACUUGUCCAUGGUGGAGCCCACACGAUAUUCGUGGCCACUGCCGAUGUGAGCUCCAACAAGGCGGUGAUAUCGACAAAGGCAUUCAGGUCGGCAUAUCAUUGUGGCUCCACAAAACGCGGACUAUGUGGUAGACGAUGUGAUAUGUUUCUCGUGUUUACUACAGAUACAUUCUGCUGUAAAGGAAGUUCAAACUGCGUUCAAGAACAGAACAGGGAGUGCGAAACUGCAUUGUCCGCAAAUUAAGUCGAGGACAGCACUCUUCAGUGGCCGUUCGGCGGUACCUAAAACAUCGGAACAAAGUUUUCAGUGGUCAGUGACAGGAGGACUAAGGAAGCGGCUUCUACACCUAGGAGCUGCAACAACCAAUCCUGUCUCGUCUGUUGCUAAGAGAUGUGGGCUUCUCACUUGGGCUCAAUCUCAAUUGGGAACUUGGCUCAUCGACUGCUGACCGGGCAGGAGCAACGCAGCCAAAAAGCUGAUUUGUAACCCCAUUGCCCGGCAUUAGAGCGUCAGCGUCGGCUAGUAUGACAGCAACCAUCUGUGGUAGACGUCCAUGAGGGCUGAUUCUCAGUGCCUUGUUCCAGCGACACAACCGAUCCGCUUCCAGUGGCUACAAUGUGAAGCCCCUCCAGACGCAGAUUAUGGAGUCUGCAGCGUGGGAUGUACUUGUAAAAAGUGUUCCGUUUCUAGGUACAACAGACUCCGGCGGUGCGCAACUGUAAACAAGAGUAAAUACUUCCAGCAUCGCAGCAUCACGGCAUCAGAGCAUCGUACUGUGGCGUAUCAUCCAUGUACCCCAGACCUUGGGGCCAUAUUGGGGUCUGCCAGGAACAGGGCAUUGUACACCAAAGGACAUUGCAAAGGAAAGAAGGAGUAUUCGCAGGACGAAGAGAGGGAUGCGUCAUAGAUAUACAGCAACCUAGCACGUUCCCCAGCUUUCUCAUCUAUAAAUGUACUACAGUGCCCACCCACAGUAACCCAGCAAGGUCACCAGUUAAAGUCGCUGCCUCUCGCCAGACCAAACUGCAAUUUGUUGCCACUGCCGAGGCGAUCCAAGAGGCAACUUUGUUGCAGUCUCUGUGUCAAGUGCACUUAUGUGUGGAGUCGAAGCGAGUGCGACUAGCACCAAAAAAAAAAACGGAAGGGGAAGCUGGAGGCACUUGACAGCCACAAAGCGCUUGGCUUGUCACCCGCUACUUGGUCAAAGCAUUGCGUCAAGUGGCUCUUGGAGCAGUUAAGCAACGUUUGCCGACGCCAUAAAUGUUGCCGCCACAGAGCCCCCUCUGCCCCCCUCUCUUGCCUCUGCUCCUUUGGAGUUUGUGCAACUUGCAUCUUGAGUAGCAGCCACGCCGCCACGCCAACAACUAACCAGCAAAAAACAACAAAAAAAUGGCAAACGUUUGCCAUUUUUCAGGAGGAUAGGCGGGAGGAUGAGGAGUGACUGCAUCUUGGCACAGACAAUUUCACAGCAAUUUAAGUUUUAGCUUUUGUUUAAGCAACACUUCAAUCGCAACGCCUUCAGAAACUGUGUCAACCGCCUCGGAGGAUGCGAAAGGAGGCAAGUACAGUGCGGUCCUUCCAUGAAGAAAGAAAUCGGGAGCAAUAGGAGCCUCUAGGAACUAUCAUUCACCGUCGUUUCACUGUAUGUCGUCCUCUCUAUCUAUCUCGAAGGUGAUUAAACUCAUUUGCCACACACACGAGCAGGCACUCUCCACACUCUCUCUCUCUCGACUCUCGCCUCAGUUUUGUUACACAUUUUUGGCCGGGACAAUAGCUGACAGGGAAGCGCAUCGCAUCGCAUCGGUGGCACGUAGCAAAUUGUCGCCAGCUGCUGUUCGCAGCCACACACGCAUCCUGCCACACAGGUGCACUUUAUGGCUGACUUUAAGUUUCGGUUCGCUUCGGUUCGGUUCUUCUGUACGGGUUCCCUAUGAUUUAUUAUUUUCCAAUGUGCUCUCCCUCCGGGAUCCACCUGUCCACUCACACUCUGGCCCCCGGUUUCUCUGGCUAACGAUUCAUUUUGUCACAUUUUUAUUAACUGAUGGAUUGGGUGUGACCCCAAAACCCAAACCCCCAAACCCCGAACCCCGAAAGAACAAAACUGAGCAAAACUUUCCAGCCAGCUCCGGGUUCAGGUCCAUGCCCCUAAGUAUGUGGCUGAUUGGGAUGGAAUACCCUGUAGGAUAUGUGGGAGAGAGUGGCAUGAAUAGGAUUGAAUCAAGUGUAAUUUAAGCAUCUACGAGAAGAAAUUAUAUAUAGGUAGAUUAUAGCCGAGUACCAAGGCAGGGGUUACCCAUCAAAGUCUUGAAUAAAUGGCUUCCCAUUCCCUUCUCUCCUCUGACGAUAUUAAUUAUGAUACUACCUCGAAACCCGGACAAAACUAGGGCAUGUUUGGGUCAACACCAACUCGAGUACAACUUUUCCUUUGGCCAUCAUCAAAGGAGGCCAUAUUUUGUUGUUCUUACACGAGCAGGUGCUUUGUCACCCAAGCCCAUUAAACAUUUAAUGCGAGCGGGCCAAUAAGGAAAGUUUUGCCUGGACAGUGAAGCCCUGGACGAGCAUUCGAUGGGUCUCAUGCAUGCGCAGGGUCCUGCAGAUGGAGCCCUCACUGUGGCUGCAACCGUCUCGAAUUUCCAGAGGAUGUGUGGGUGCCUUUGUGGAUGUGAUUUGGUCAAGUUUUGUCUAUAUAAUUAUAAUUAAUUACUCUUUGGAAACUUUGACACAUUUAAUUAUUAUUUUAUUAAUACAUUCGGUUUUGGUUUCGGUUUCGGGUUCGGCCUGGAUGGCGUGAGGUCCUAAUUCCUAAUGAGUGUGCCGCUGUCCUAUUCGAUUUCACAGUGGAAAUGUACGAGCAUAUCCUUUGCAGCUGCUAAUUGCUUCAGGAAUUCGGAAAGUUUCCGCUCCUUGGAUCUGAAGUGUUUGCUUAAAGGAUUCUGACCCGGAAAUCUUUUCUCCCUUUGGGGUUUUUUUCACUUUAAAUUCCAUUUAAUUGUUUCCACAAAGUUAAAGCCAAAAACUAAAGAUUUGUUUAGUUUGGAAAAGCUUUGAGGGAUUGGGGUUGGCGAAGGGGGGGAACGAGGACUCGGAUCAGGAUUUUCAUUUCAUUUUCUUUCAUAAAACUUCUGUGUACUUUUCUGUGCAGCCAAACCGAAAUCGAAGUGCAAUGGCAAUGGCAAAUGCUUGGCCAGAAUGCUGGAAAAUCCGUUUUCUCUGGACAGAACGCAAAAUGAAAAGCGUUUUGCAGUUUGUGUAACUAUUUAAAAAGUUUUCCCUGGCAAGGGCCACACAUCCAAUUGGAGCUGCCCUCCCCGCCGAGGGUUGGCCAAGGAAAUGCAGAUUUUCAAGGGGAAUCAGUCGGUAGGGGGAGAUCUAUUUGCUCCUUAAUCCAGGCCAUCGCCCAAAGAAUGGUCUGGUAAUGGUCCCAACGAUUGGAUGAUCCAUUCAUCCACUCAAACUUCCCGAUCGACCCUCUGCCCUAGACACAUAUGCAUUUAUGCAAGUACACAUUCGGAAGGGGGUCCUCCCAGCCCAUCCUUUGAACUUUGCAACAAAUUAAAAUUAAGCCAAAACUUUGGGGCAGGGCAUGCCUUUGUGUGGGGCGUGGCUGAUGUACGAUAUCGAUGGCCAAAACGGUGCAGAGUUUGCUCUUUGUAUCGCACUAUGUAUCUACUUGCCCUAUGCAAGGGGCAACACUCUCAGCUACGGCUUAUGCAACGCAUUAACAACGAGCAUAGCGGAGGGGUAUGGGGGGUACGGGCAUAGGAAGGAUGAACAGCAUAUUUUAAUGCCUGAUUUUUAACGUCGGCUCGGCGCACUUAUUGACAGCUGCGACAGGCAGCUGUGAUACUCACACGCCCUCAUGCCGGCCCCUGCCACAUGCCACACACUUUGAUGCAUAUGUCAUGCGAUACACAGCCCAGCGAAACAGAAAUUUAUUUGCCUGGCGCCUGUCAAGCCACGCAGCUCCCCGGGAAGCCCGUGGAGCCCAGGAAACCCAAAAGCUAACCGAACCGAAGAGAGGCAUAAAAAAUGUUUAAUUUAAUUUUGUAGCACCAAAAAAAAUGCAUAUAUACAUGUACAGUCUGCGCCUUAACCUUUCCCCCAUAUACAUAUCUCAUAUAUAUCGUAUAUAUCGUCCGUAUAUAUAUCGUAUAUAUUCCGUCAUGGCAACUGCUGCGCCAACAUAAAAUGCUUAAACAAUUUUUAUAGGUAAAUAUUUACGGUUCAAUGUUUUUCCGUUCUUUCUCGCCCCGUAGAUCUUUUGCUUCCAUUUUCGGAUACGAUUUCCUCCCACACAGUGCCUGGUGCUAAUCGACAGACGUCAACUUUGAUUGAAUUUAAACACGGAAUGUUUUUCACUCGUGCCGAGCAGUUAUCAAAUUUAUGAAUAACUAAUGAAAAACAAUCCCAGCCCCGACCCCCCCUAUCAAGCGAAAUGAAUGGGUAUUAAUUGAUUGGGGCUAUUUUUUGUACAUAUAUGGAUUUUUAUUUGAUAUAUUUAGUGGCAGUUAAGCAACGGAAAUAAGCGGUCUUAUAGUUAAGGUAAAGCAGAUUUAUUUGUUUGUUCCCAUUUCUAAAGUGAUCCCAUUUUAUACGGAUGUUUGCUUUGUUCGGAAACUCCUGCGAUUCGUGCAUGAUUUUAUUCAAAAAUGUCUCAAAUAUGUUUCCCGUACUACUGAUUGUGAGCUACAGCUGAAAAACUGAGUAAAGGCGAAAAAUGGGAGACACUAUGAGAGAUAGAGAUACAUGGAAUGGAAUGCAUGCAAAUUGGACAUUGCACUGAUGAGCGAUGUGUCUCUGGCACGGUCGCUGUUGGACUUUCUGCCUCGUCUGCUUCGGCAGUAGCUUGUUUAAUUGCAACUAAAAGCGGAAGGCAACAGCAGGAGGAGGAGCAGGAGCAGAGGAACCAACGUUGACUGCUCCCCUGAACUGUGUCAAAAACAAGGGCCAGAACAGCAGGGCAGCAGUAAAAAAUAUACGGAACGAAACUAAAGAUUCACACACAAGUUUGUUGUUUAGUUCUGUUUGGUUUUUUGUUUGUUUGUUUGUCCAUAUGUGUACGUGUGCGUGUGUUUCUGUUUGUUCGCUGCCCGUUGCUUCCUGCAAUUUGCGCUCUGGCAAAGCUUCCUUUUUAAGCCCUUGCCACGGAGCAGGAGCUGAAGCAGGAGCCGGUGCCGCAGGUGUUGGACUGAAGCGGCAGCGGCAGCGGCAGCAUCGGGAUCAGCGGAGGUGAGAAACAGUGUUCCAAAAGCACUUUUUAAAGUUGCAAGAUAUUAUUAUUACCAGAGGAUUUGAGUGGGUAAAAAAUGAAGUAUGUUUUCCUCAUAAAAUAAAAUUCUAUGUUCAUGGACCUCCACAGAUCCGCCUCAUUAGACGUGAACCACUGUGCACUGGCGUAGACGGUGACUGCGGCGGCGGCAACAUCCUCUGCUAUCUGCUUGCUGCAGCCGAACAGUUGGCGCGAGAGGUGCUCGGAAGAGGAGGGGGAGAAGAGUGGAGAACGGAUGGGUGGGUGGGUGUAGGGUUGGGACAAACAGAAACCGACGCGGCUUUCCUUUUUGACACACCAUUUUGCAUGUUGCAUGAAGCUGCCAUGUGUGUGUGCGUGUCUUCUUCUAUCCCACUCUGUCUCCCUCAUUCUCCCUCUCGCUCUGUUUGCAUGGCGCAUAUGUCACUUGUCUAAAUAGCAGCGACACCGUUCACCUGUAUCAGUGUGUGUGUGUGUAGUGUGCUUGGAACUGACCGACGCACAGUGGUCUCCACUCAAAUACAUUGAUCGGAGCCUUCAGGGAAUACCCAAUCCAAUAAUUAUAAGCUUUUGCUUUGCAGCUUAUAGAUAUCCUAAAUUAUAAUAAAUAUAAAAACCACUUCUUCGGAAAAAAGUCCCACUGUGCACCGGAUGUUGCUGAGAAGGGGAAUGGUGGGUGGGGUGGAAGGAAUGGAUGAACGGGGGUCAGGAUGACACCGGACUGCACUGUCCAUGCAUGCAAAUGCAACAUUUGCAACUGUUCUUUCUCUUUCGUUCGCUCACAUUUUUUCUUACUUUUCGCGACAACUACAACUACAGCGGCAAACCGGCAGUAAUUUGGCCACCUUGUCUAGGUGUGUUUGCUUAGAGGAGCAGAAAGGUACAGCACAGAGGGCAGCAGUAGAGUGUGUUGCAACAUGGCAUAGGAGAGACGGAAAAAAGCCAGAGACGAAGCAGAAAGCUUAAUGGAAACCGAAAAACGGGAUGGACAGGAACAGGAAUCUAGAUGUGGGGAAUGAACAGACAUAACUAUUAAACGAAUCUCUAGAAUUGGACAAACACACAUUUGAUUGAUCAUGAGGGAAUCAUGCAUAAAAAGAGUUCAAAUCUACAAUAUUAGGAGCCACCAACGAAUCUACAAUAUUACGAGCCACCAACGAAUAUGGCGCUUCACCUUUUUGAGCAGAAGUAGAAGAAAGAAAGAGACGACUAUAGAGUAGAUUCAUGCAUGGCGCUGGUGUGUGUGCAUGUGAGUGGGGCAUACACUCGUGCACACAGCGCGGUCUUGAAAAUAAAUAGUGAGGUUAAGGCAGAAAAAAUUAUACUCGAGCUGCACAUUUAUUUGCUUUGCUGAUGUCAAAACUGAGACACAUUCAUUAAUUAGGUAUCGUGAAUGCUGUGGUAAUGCAGCUGAAGUUGCGAAAGCCAUUAAUCGACCAUAUCCAUGUUCAUGCCAUCCCCCUUCUUGACGACAUCGUCUUGCUGUUCGUCUUGCACCUCUUUGCGGUUAGCAAGGUCCACGGUUUUCAAUUUAUGCUCGAUCUCUAGUAGAUCAUCGUCCAUGUCAUUUU